GUUUAAGGUGGAAUCAAGACCACUCAGCUACUCAUUAGCACAGAACGCUUGAUGGACAGUAAGAUCAUGAGUCUGAGAUGGAAGAAGAGGAAUGAGGAGCAUAUUUGAUUUUGAAGCCUGCAGAUUGCCUUCUCUAUCACCCUCUGACUGAUUUUUGGAUGCCAGGAUAAAAAGCAAGUCAAUUGCAAAGUGAAAUUCCAAAUCUUGCAAAAAGAUCCAGAAAAACCACACAAAAGAAUUGUAUAGCUCUGAAUUAUUAUAAGCCAGAUACUGUUUUAACUACCGCCUGCGCCAAAAUAUAAAGUUAUGACAACCACUCCAGAAGCCUCUCCAGGUGACCUGUCCCACACACCUGCCCCUCUCUCCAAAGGUUUAUCCUCCAUUCUUGUCUCUGCCUUACAGUUUGUUGAAGAAGCUAAGCUAUUUCACUAAAGUGUCUUGCAGCCUGGACUUUUUUGAUUGCAUCCUCAUGGUGAAGUUCAACAUGUUUAUCCUCCAUAUUUCCUGAACAUUGGCAGCUGGAUCCAGGAGCUUGGUCAGACUCAGAUUUAGUUCAGUGGACCCAUUAUAUCUGACUGUAUUUCUAAUUUUUAGCAGACCUUGACACUAAUUGCCUCAAAUCAUUUGUUGUGGGUCACAAAAACGCUGAUGCUCUAUCAUUUGGUUUUCAAUUAUUAGCUAAAGUAUUCUUAUGGAGAUGCUGCUUUCACCUAUUGAGUUACCCAGUACCAUGAUUCAGAGAGAAACGACUGAUAAAUUUUUUGAUUUGU